AUAAAGUUUGAUUCUAGCUUAAAAUAAAACAUUCAAAUUUUUGUACAUGUAAUUUAUAGGGGCAGUACUUUGUAUUAUAUAAAUUUAAAAGUUAUAAAAAUAUGUGGAGGAUUGGAUAAAAUUGUGCCAGCAUCUGCGGUUACACAAUAAAUUAAGGUUUUAUAUUUUAGAUAAAUUAAAUUUUUAAAGGAUUUAUUUAUAUUUAUAAUUUAUUUUGUGAAAUUUUUUUUAUAUCUAAGUUUUUUAAUUUUAUUUAUUUUAAAUUUUAUUAAAGACCGGGAUUAGAUACCCCGUUAUGGAUUUAUUUUUUACUUAAGUAGUAGGGUUUUUGAAACUUAAAUAAUUUGGCGGUAAUUGAUCUUAUUAGAGGAACCUGUCCUGUAAUCGAUAUUACACGUUAGUUACUUUAUUUUAGUUUAUAUAUCGUUGUUGGAAAAAUUAAUUGGUAAAUUAAUUUAAUUAAAUUAAUUUCUUUAUAAUUCAAAUCAAGGUUUAAUUUAUAUUAAAGAAGAGAUGGGUUACAUUAUUUGUAAUUGUGAAUUUAGAAAAUGGAUUUAAAAGUAAUUUUAUUAUUUAAUUAAUUUGAAUUGAGUUCUUAAUUAUGUACACAUCGCCCGUCGCUCUAAUUGUUUAUUAGAUAAGUCGUAACAAAGUAGACUUUCCGGAAGGAAAUUCUAGU
rnacentral:ncRNA from 1 species